rnacentral:sRNA from 2 species
CCGCGCUGAUUGCCUAACUCUGCCGCAGCCCGAGGAACCAACCGAAGACCCAUGUCCGGCAGAGACGGGGAAACCACUUUUCGGCCUGCUUGAAGCGGGCCUUGGGGUGAAGCCGCACAGUUCCUGACCACGUUCAGGACCGCGGCCGGGUGCCUCCCAUCCGAAUCCGACAGCUCACCUCGCAGGCAUCGGGAGAGGCUUC